GAAAUGCGAUAAGUAGUGUGAAUUGCAGAAUUCAGUGAAUCAUCGAAUCUUUGAACGCACAUUGCGCCCCUUGGUAUUCCAUGGGGCAUGCCUGUUCGAGCGUCAUUUGUACCCUCAAGCUCUGCUGGGUGUUGGGUGUUUGUCCCCGUCUCCGCGCGUGGACUCGCCCCAAAGUGAUUGGCAGCCGGCGUACUGGUCCCGGAGCGCAGCACAUGUCGCGCAAACGAGUGCCUUGGUACGGCGGCGUCCAUAAGCCCCUCUCUCACGCUCUUGACCUCGGAUCAGGUAGGGAUACCCGCUGAACUUAAGC
rnacentral:misc_RNA from 1 species